rnacentral:rRNA from 1 species
AGAGUUCGAUUAUGGCUCAGGAUGAACGCUGGCGGCGUGCUUAACACAUGCAAGUCGAACGGGAAAUAUUUCAUUGAGACUUCGGUGGAUUUGAUCUAUUUCUAGUGGCGGACGGGUGAGUAACGCGUGGGUAACCUGCCUUAUACAGGGGGAUAACAGUCAGAAAUGGCUGCUAAUACCGCAUAAGCGCACAGAGCUGCAUGGCUCAGUGUGAAAAACUCCGGUGGUAUAAGAUGGACCCGCGUUGGAUUAGCUAGUUGGUGGGGUAACGGCCCACCAAGGCGACGAUCCAUAGCCGGCCUGAGAGGGUGAACGGCCACAUUGGGACUGAGACACGGCCCAG